GACGAACGCUGGCGGCAUGCCUAAUACAUGCAAGUCGAGCGAACAGAUGAAGUGCUUGCACUUCUGACGUUAGCGGCGAGCGGGUGAGUAACACGUAAGGAAUCUACCUAUAAGCGGGGGUUAACAUUCGGAAACGGGUACUAAUACCGCAUAAUAUCUUCUUCCGCAUGGAAGAAGAUUGAAAGACGGCUCUGCUGUCACUUAUAGAUGACCUUGCGGUGCAUUAGUUAGUUGGUGGGGUAAUGGCCUACCAAGACGAUGAUGCAUAGCCGACCUGAGAGGGUGAUCGGCCACAUUGGGACUGAGACACGGCCCAAACUCCUACGGGAGGCAGCAGUAGGGAAUCUUCCGCAAUGGGCGAAAGCCUGACGGAGCAAUGCCGCGUGAGUGAAGAAGGCCUUCGGGUCGUAAAACUCUGUUAUAAGAGAAGAACAAAUUGUAGAGUAACUGCUACAGUCUUGACGGUAUCUUAUCAGAAAGCCACGGCUAACUACGUGCCAGCCGCCGCAGUAA
rnacentral:rRNA from 1 species